rnacentral:rRNA from 1 species
GCGGGUACAAUGCGCUGCAGUCCUGAAUGCAGCGACGCCGCGUGAAGAAUGACGGCCUUCGGGUUGUAAACCUCUUUCAGCAGGGAAGAUGCGAAAGUGACGGUACCUGCCGAAGAAGCGCCGGGUACUUACGUGCCAGCAGCCGGACUAAUACGUAGGGCGCAAGGUUGUCCGGAAUUAUUGGGCGUAAAGAGCUCGUAGGCGGCUCUUUACGCCGGUUGUGAAAGCCCGAGGCUUGACCCCGAGUCUGCAGCGCAUCUGGGGGGGCGAAAUUUGGGGGGGCUACAUCGGAAUUCCCGGUGACUUUCGCUUCUGCCCUGAUGAAAGAAGGAAACCCGCUGGAGAAGGCGAUCCCUUGGGCGGAUACGGUGCCUGAGGAGCGAAAGCGUUGGGAGCAAACAGGACUGAUGACAUAAAAAAAGAC